UAUUUAUUGGUGUAAGAGGCACAUAAGUUUUUGAUACUUAAGGACAUAGUUUAAUUCUAUUAUAAGUAA
rnacentral:tRNA from 1 species